rnacentral:rRNA from 1 species
UACGGAGGGUGCAAGCGUUAUCCGGAUUCACUGGGUUUAAAGGGUGCGUAGGUGGGAAUGUAAGUCAGUGGUGAAAUCUCCGUGCUUAACAUGGAACUGCCUUGAUACUAUGUUUCUUGAAUUUUCUGGAGGUAAGCGGAAUAUGUCAUGUAGCGGUGAAAUGCUUAGAUAUGACAUAGAACACCAAUUGCGAAGGCAGCUUGCUACAGGGAUAUUGACACUGAGGCACGAAAGCGUGGGGAUCAAACAGG